AGUACUGAAACACAACAGUGACAUUCACAUCAAAGGAUUUCUGUAUGAACAAAGAGAACAGCAGGCCAGUUAUAUUCCUGACACUGCCAGCAAGUCUUGAACACAUGAAAACUUAAAGGCCUCCACUCCUGUGAGUCCACUCUGAGCUAAAUGAUUGUAUUUUUCCAAAGUUGUGGUUUUGUUUGGUCACAUCAGGCCUUAACCCUGCUGAGAACUCU
rnacentral:lncRNA from 1 species